rnacentral:misc_RNA from 1 species
AACGCACAUUGCGCCCCUUGGUAUUCCGAGGGGCAUGCCUGUUCGAGCGUCAUUAUAACAACUCAAGCCUGGCUUGGUAUUGGGGUCCGCGGUCUCGCGGCCCUUAAAAUCAGUGGCGGUGCCCUCUGGCUCUAAGCGUAGUAAUGCUCUCGCUAUAGGGUCCGGGUGGUAGCUGCCAUAACCCCAACUUCUAAGUUUGACCUCGGAUCAGGUAGGGAUACCCGCUGAACUUAA